rnacentral:lncRNA from 1 species
AAUUGUUUUUUUAUUAAAUUAUAUUUAAUAAUUAUUAUGUUAAAAUAUGGUUAAACUAUUUAUUAUUUUUAUUAAAUUAUUUUCAAUAAUAAUCUUAUUAAAAUUUAAUAACCAUAACAAUAAUCAUCUACCUUAAAAAAAAUCUGCUAAGGGUAUUCUGGUCAUUUUAGUUUUUUUUCCUUAUGCUAUUACAACAUCAUUCUAUUCAACCAAACACAAUAAUAUUAUUACAGUUCUAUUCCAUUCC